AAGCCCAAAUUACCAUGGAUGUUAUAAGAACUCUGAUAAAUUUACGGUAAAAUUCACUAAAUCAAAGCUGUUCUUUUCUACAUAUUUUCUAUGUAUUUUUAUUCCCUUUCUGUGUAUCUAUUUUUACAAAAUUUAUUCAAGAAUUUUUUCCCAAACUUACUCAGGUAUGCUUGAUCAUCAUAUCAAUGAGUUUUUCCUAUGAAUAUGCAAAGGGCCAUAAUCAAUAUUAGUGUGUGAUCUGAAUGCACAAAAGUAGGCGGACGAAAUAUCAUCAAAGACUAUUUAUGACAUUUCAACAGAUCUUAACAAUAUAAUAAAUCAAAUGUAAAGUCAGAAGUGUUUACACAAACAGUAACUACAUAUGACAAUCAGCCUCAUUAUGAGCAACAAAUUUAUGGAAUUUGUAUGAAAACAAAUUUCACAACCAACAUGAGUUUUAACAACCUAUAAACAUGAAUAUUUUUAUUUCAAUAAUUACAAGUCAUUUAACAUUCAACAGAUAAAAAUAAAACAUCAAACUUUAACACAAAAUCUUACUGGUCCCUAGUUAACAAACAUCUAACAGGAACCUAGUCAGCCUAAUCUAUAAAAUCAUUGCAUUUUCU
rnacentral:lncRNA from 1 species